rnacentral:lncRNA from 1 species
AGAUGAGGCAACCAAAAGAGGUUAGGCUGAAGCCUCUGCAUGUCCCGAUGCCUGAUGGAGAUGGAGGAAUCCUUUCUACCCAGACAGAAGUCACACUAUGUAGCCUGUCCUCUUUAGAACUGAAUCCGAUUGGGAUUUCUUCAUGGUCUCCACCCUGGAAAACCAGCUUGAAUUCUUGUAUGCGGGCCAGAUUCCAAGAGACAUCAUAAUUAGAUCCCAGAAGACUACAUGGCAGCUGAAGAGGAUGUCCCCUGUGGAAUAUAUGGAGGAAAGGCUGGCCAAAGCAAUGUUCACAUUCAUGCAAUUAUCCAGUUAAUUGCACAAGAUCAAAACUUCUCGAAGUUGACUAGUUUCACAUGGAAGCUAGAAGACCAAAUACAGGACUAUACCCAUAAAGAAGAGUCACCUGGCAUGAGAAGUCUCGCUGUGUCGCCAGGCUGGAGUGCAAUGGUGCCAUCUCGACUCACUGCAACCUCCGCAUACUGGGUUCAAGUGAUUCUCCUGCCUCAGCCUCCUGAGUAGCUGCGACUACAGGCGCGCACCACCACUCCCAGCUAAUUUUUUUAUUUUUAGUAGAGAGGGGGUUUCACCGUGUUGGCCAGGGUGGUCUCAAUCUCUUGACCUCGUGAACCGCCCACCUCAGCUUCCCAAAGUGCUGAGAUUAUAGGUGUGUGCCAGUGCUCCUGGUCAACCAUUUUACUUAUAACAAAAAUUUUGAAUGUCAACAAUAUGCAAGGAGGUUAAUAGUUUUUCAAAAUUCUCUUAGAAGUAAAAAAGCAAAAUUCUUUGAUACUAUCAUAUUCUCUAAUGUUAGGGCAAUUCUGUGGCAUUUUCAGCAGCUUAUAAGCAAAUUUGCAAAAGACAAUAAGGCUUGAAGGCUGAGACCCAUUGGAACCAUUUGUGCUUCCACUAUUGAUCUAAAAUGCCAGCAUAGUCUCAGAGGCCUCAUCGGUAUCUGAGAGACUGUAUGUGAGUUCUGUUUCAAAUGCUUAAUCCAUGUUUUCACUUUAUUAUCAAAGAAUUAACAGUAUUUCACCAAAUCUUACAUGAAGUUAUUUCCUCUUUUAAUUUGUAUGCAAUACCAUCAUCAUUAACAGUGUGUCACAAAGAGACAUGAGCACUUAGAGGAAACAGAACACUCUCCAGAGUCUCUACUCCCAGCUCAGCCACUUCUAGCUGAGUGAACUCAGAUAACUCUGUUGAGCUCUGAAAUCUGUCUUUCAAUCUGUAAAAGAAAAGAAAUUAAUAUCUGCCUUGCUACUUCACUGGGUUUUUGUAAUAAAUGAUGUUGUAUUUCUUACUAAACUGUAAAGAUCUAUGUAAAACUUAAAUACUAUUUUUAGUGAAAAAG